CAAAGGAGCAACCGCUGAAAGAUGGGCUCGCGUCCGAUUAGGUAGUUGGUGAGGUAACGGCCCACCAAGCCGACGAUCGGUAGCCGGACUGAGAGGUUGAACGGCCACAUUGGGACUGAGACACGGCCCAGACUCCUACGGGAGGCAGCAGUAAGGGAUAUUGGUCAAUGGGGGAAACCCUGAACCAGCAACGCCGCGUGAGGGAAGACGGUUUUCGGAUUGUAAACCUCUGUCCUCUGUGAAGAUGAUGACGGUAGCAGAGGAGGAAGCUCCGGCUAACUACGUGCCAGCAGCCGCGGUAAUACGUAGGGAGCGAGCGUUGUCCGGAUUUACUGGGUGUAAAGGGUGCGUAGGCGGCUGUGCAAGUCAGUAGUGAAAUCCAUGGGCUUAACCCAUGAACUGCUAUUGAAACUGCACAGCUUGAGUGAAGUAGAGGUAGGCGGAAUUCCCGGUGUAGCGGUGAAAUGCGUAGAGAUCGGGAGGAACACCAGUGGCGAAGGCGGCCUACUGGGCUUUAACUGACGCUGAGGCACGAAAGCGUGGGUAGCAAACAGGAUUAGAUACCCUGGUAGUCCACGCUGUAAACGAUGAUUACUAGGUGUGGGGGGACUGAACCCUUCC
rnacentral:rRNA from 1 species